CGCACCUUGCGCUCUCUGGUAUUCCGGAGAGCAUGCCUGUUUGAGUGUCAUGAACUCUUCAACCCACCGGUUCCUUGUUGGACCGUGUGGUGUUUGGAUUUUGAGCGCUUGCUAGUCGAAAGACUUUAGCUCGCUCGUAAUACAUUAGCAUCUCAAUUUCGUAAUCGGAUUGACUCAGCGUAAUAGACUAUUCGCUGAGGACACGGGGGCAACCUUGUGGCCGAACAUGAAUGAGUAUAGAAGCUUCCAACCCCUCUAGUCACCUUUAGAUUAGACCUCAGAUCAGGCAGGAUUACCCGCUGAACUUAA
rnacentral:misc_RNA from 1 species